rnacentral:tRNA from 1 species
GCGGGUAUAGUUCAACGGUAGAACAUUAGCCUUCCAAGCUAAUUGUGAGGGUUCGAUUCCCUCUACCCGCUCCA